AGUUUUCCAGGUUUGAUUUGGGGACUGGGAGACAGCAGCCUAAACUUGAUCAUCCUUUUGGCAAUUACAGGGAGUCACACUCGAGGUAUGCAGAAGUUUCUGAGCCAGGGAUCAAACCCGAGCUGCAGCAGUGACAACAUCAGAUCCUUAUCUGGAAGGCCACCAGGGAACUCCCUGUCCUCCCAUUUUGACUCUGGACUAGACCUGUGACUUGUUUGGGCCAAUUUGAUGUUUGCAAAUAUGACACAAGCAGAGGUUUGAAAAGUGCUAUUGGGUUUGCUUGCUCUGGAUUUUCUGCCAUGAGAACAUGACCAGGCUGCUACCUAGAAAAUGGUUGUGUCAUCCCAGUCAUUUCCCCUGAAAAAAAUUCUAGCCCAACCACAGCCAUCUGACCCCCAGUCGCAAGUGAGCCAAAAUCAGCUAAGCCCAGCCUAGUUCAGCGGAACCCUGCAAAAUAAUGAGUUCAGUGUCCUCAUAUGCCAUAGGGUUUUAUGAUUGUUUGUUAUGCAACAUUAUUGUGACUAAAGGUAGUUGACACACAUAUAUCAUGUUAUUUUAUUCUCACAGCUUUCUGAUGUUACUUCCUUGCAUCCUCUGGAACCCCUGUUGAACCUUUUACCUCCUUAACCUAUCUGUCCACAGAACAAUUCCUGGUUUUCCUUUAGAAAAAUGCAGUUUCUUCCUUCUUGUUCUGUUCUUUUUCUUUAUCUGAUGGCCUGUGUGUAAGUGGGAGAUGAGGUUGGCAUUUUACACUGCUGCCUUCAAAUCAUUUUGCCUCUAUAUUUGGGCAAUGUUAAGCUCUUCCUAAAAUAUAGUCUGGUUAUUGGAGUUCCCGUCUUGGCGCAGUGGUUAACGAAUCCGACUAGGAACCCUGAGGUUGCGGGUUCGAUCCCUGGCCUUGCUCAUGGGUUAACGAUCCGGCGUUGCCGUGAGCUGUGGUGUAGGUUGCAGACGCGGCUCGGAUCCCGCGUUGCUGUGGCUCUGGCGUAGGCUGGUGGCUACAGCUCCGAUUAGACCCCUAGCCUGGGACCCUCCAUAUGCCGCGGGAGCGGCCCUAGAAAAGGCAAAAAGACCAAAAAAAAAAAAUAUAUAUGUAUGUAUAUAUAUAUAUACAUAUAUAUAUCCAGUCCUUAUAAUCUCUUGGUACAGAUUAUCCUCCAAGAUCUAAAAUUCCUCUUUAUUACAUCAUAUAUCAUAACUGCUUAACCUUCCAGUUCUUUAUACUUAUUUACAUAUAUAUACUCCAUCAUUUCACAACUGUCUUAUUAUUUUGCCCUUUUUCCUUCUGUUUCGUGGACUCAGCAAAAUAUUUUCUUUGAAUCUAUCCACAUGCUUUCCUUCUCUGCUCUUAGGCCAAAGUGGCUCAUCCAGAACCGCUACAAAAAAGAAAUCCACAGUGGCCGAAGUGCGCUGCUGUCUCCUUUCCUCCUUUCCCAGACAUCAUCUGUUUGUUCUCACUUAUCCCUGUCCUUUCAUAUCCAUGUGGGACUCUUGCCAACUCAGUUUCCCCUUCUUUCUCUCUUACUAUCUCUUUAAUAUUAUAUUAAAGAGACUUACUUUCCUAUUUAAGUCCUGCAUGAUCCUUCUUCCUGUGCAAAAGCCAGGUAUGUAAGAGCCACCUUCAGGAGUUCCUGAUGGCUUAGCAGUUAAAGAUCUGGCAUUGUCACUGCUGUGGCCUGGGUUGCUGCUGUGCUACCUGUUCGAUCCCUCACCUGGGAACUUCUAUAAUGCUGCGGGUAUAGCCAAAAAAAAGGGGGGAGCCACCUUCAUUUCUUAGAUAGCCUUCUUGAAUCCCCAUUUCCUUUACAGCCCACUGCAUUCAGGCCUAGGCCCACACCAUUUGACUGAAUUUACCCUGUGUUAGGUUAUACACUCCUGAUUGUAAUAGGCUCUCUUUAGACAAAUUUUACAUUUAAAUACUACUAUUGUUUGAUUGUUAAGUUUCUUCCCAUUUUCUCCUAUUAUAAGUAAAGCUGCAAAG
rnacentral:lncRNA from 1 species